AAGUGCAAUGCCGGCUUUAGCAUCGAAGAUGGAGGAGUGGGUGUCGCUGACGAAGUCCGUAGAGACGACCUGGGCAUCAAAUUUAAAAGGAACAAUGCAUGCACUUGGAAUGGGCCAGAAAGGAAGCCCUCUCUGAGCGGUGGCCAUGAGCCUGGGUCUGGCUGACUAGGAGGAUCUGGCCAACUUGAGCCCUCAGUCAGUACAUUGUCUGAGCUGGAAAGAGCUGCAGACACAGGUCCUGAGGGUUUUAGCCCUAGUGUGGGUUCACACUAGGGGCCACAGGGGAGUUUUUAGCAGUGGAGUGAUACCAUCUGAUUCUGUUAAAAGAAGAGGUCCCGGAGGCUGUGUGGGAGUGGACCUGCAUGAGCUAAAGCAGGGAGACAACACCAAGGUGGAUGACAUACAGAGAUGGCACUUCUGAUGGUGACAUCAACUCCUCACAUGGAAGGUACUGGCCAAAUGCUAAAAAAUAGGAGCUCUGUUGUCUUUUGUUCACUGAGCAUGUUAUGAGCACUUGUUGUGUGCCAGGCUGGAAGGAAAUGAAAAGAUAACCCCUAAA